UUUUUUAAAGAAAAUUUGGCCUUCCAGCAAGGGGAGGCCAAGGAACUUUCCU
rfam:Human immunodeficiency virus type 1 gag gene, isolate TG266, 5' end.